AUGCAAGUCGAACGGCAGCACGGGAGCAAUCCUGCUGACGAGUGGCGAACGGGUGAGUAAUACAUCGGAACGUGCCCGAUCGUGGGGGAUAACGCAGCGAAAGCUGUGCUAAUACCGCAUACGAUCUACGGAUGAAAGCGGGGGAUCGCAAGACCUCGCGCGGACGGAGCGGCCGAUGGCAGAUUAGGUAGUUGGUGGGAUAAAAGCUUACCAAGCCGACGAUCUGUAGCUGGUCUGAGAGGACGACCAGCCACACUGGGACUGAGACACGGCCCAGACUCCUACGGGAGGCAGCAGUGGGGAAUUUUGGACAAUGGGCGAAAGCCUGAUCCAGCCAUGCCGCGUGCAGGAUGAAGGCCUUCGGGUUGUAAACUGCUUUUGUACGGAACGAAAAAGUCUUCUCUAAUACAGGGGGCGAAUGACGGUACCGUAAGAAUAAGCACCGGCUAACUACGUGCCAGCAGCCGCGGUAAUACGUAGGGUGCGAGCGUUAAUCGGAAUUACUGGGCGUAAAGCGUGCGCAGGCGGUUAUAUAAGACAGAUGUGAAAUCCCCGGGCUCAACCUGGGAACUGCAUUAGUGACUGUAUAGCUAGAGUGAGGAAGAGGGAGGUGGAAUUCCGGGUGUAGUGGUGAAAUGCGUAGAUAUCCGGAGGAACACCAGUGGCGAAAGCGGCCUCCUGGCCCAUUUCUGACGCUCAGACACGAAAGCUAAGGUAGCAAACGGGAUUAGAGACCCCGGUAGUCUUAGCUGUAAACGAUGUGAACUUAGUGUCGGUGGGUUUAAAUCCAUCGGUACUGAAGCUAACGCGAUAAGUUCACCGCCUGGGGACUACGGCCGCAAGGUUAAAACUCAAAGGAAUUGACGGGGCCCCGCACAAGCAGCGGAGCGUGUGGUUUAAUUCGAUGCUACACGAAGAACCUUACCAGGGUUUGACAUGCUAGUGGUAGGAAACCGAAAGGUGACCGACCCUUCGGGGAGCUAGCACAGGUGCUGCAUGGCUGUCGUCAGCUCGUGUCGUGAGAUGUUCGGUUAAGUCCGCUAACGAGCGCAACCCUCGCUGUGUGUUAUAUGUGUCACAUGGGACUGCCGGCCUUAAGCCGGAGGAAGGUGGGGAUGAUGUCAAGUCAGCAUGGCCUUUAUGUCCUGGGCUACACACACGCUACAAUGGUCAGCACAAUGGGUCGCUAAGCCGCAAGGUGGAGCCAAUCCUCAAAGUUGGCCUCAGUUCAGAUUGUAGGCUGCAACUCGCCUGCAUGAAGAUGGAGUUGCUAGUAAACGCAGGUCAGCUAUACUGCGUUGAAUACGUUCCCG
rnacentral:rRNA from 1 species